CUGAGUAACACGUAGGAAUCUACCCUUAACUUGGGAAUAACUUAGGGAAACCUUUGCUAAUACCCAAUAAUCUGACCCGUGCUUCGCACAGGCCAGUAAAGAUUUAUCGGUUAAGGAUGAGCCUGCGGUCCAUCAGGUAGUUGGUGAGGUAAAUGCUCACCAAGCCUAUGACGGAUACCGGGACUGAGAGGUCGUACCGGCAGGGGGGCACUGAGACACGGGCCCCACUCC
rnacentral:rRNA from 1 species